CCUACGGGAGGCUGCAGUGGGGAAUAUUGCACAAUGGGGGCAACCCUGAUGCAGCGACGCCGCGUGAGUGAAGAAGUCAUUCGUUAUGUAAAGCUCUAUCAGCAGGGACGAAACUGACGGUACCUGAGUAAGAAGCCCCGGCUAACUACGUGCCAGCAGCCGCGGUAAUACGUAGGGGGCAAGCGUUAUCCGGAUUUACUGGGUGUAAAGGGAGCGUAGACGGCAGUGCAAGUCUGGAGUGAAAGGCUGGGGCUCAACCCCCGGACUGCUCUGGAAACUGUACGGCUGGAGUGCAGGAGAGGGAAGUGGAAUUCCGAGUGUAGCGGUGAAAUGCGUAGAUAUUAGGAGGAACACCAGUGGCGAAGGCGGCCUACUGGACUGUAACUGACGUUGAGGCGCGAAAGCGUGGGGAGCAAACAGGAUUAGAUACCCGGGUAGUC
rnacentral:rRNA from 1 species